AUACGGAGGGAGCAAGCGUUAUUCGGAAUCACUGGGCGUAAAGGACGCGUAGGCGGGUUUGUAAGUCAGGUGUGAAAUCCUACAGCUCAACUGUAGAACUGCACUUGAAACUACAGACCUAGAGUAUGAAAGGGGCAGAUGGAAUUAGUGGUGUAGGGGUAAAAUCCGUAGAUAUCACUAGGAAUACCGAAAGCGAAGGCGAUCUGCUGGGACAUUACUGACGCUGAGGCGUGAAAGCGUGGGGAGCAAACAGAAUUAGAUACCCUAGUAGUCC
rnacentral:rRNA from 1 species